rnacentral:rRNA from 1 species
ACGCUCGACACCUACGGGAGACAGCAGUGGGGAAUAUUGCACAAUGGGGGAAACCCUGAUGCAGCGACGCCGCGUGGAGGAAGAAGGUCUUCGGAUUGUAAACUCCUGUUGUUGGGGAAAAAGAGGAUGGUACCCAACAAGGAAGUGACGGCUAACUACGUGCAAGCAGCCGCGGUAAUCUGAGGCGGGCUGGACAAGGC